GUGGAUUUUCCUUCUAUGUUUA
rnacentral:miRNA from 1 species